CUAGGAAGGACUUCGUGGGGCGCGGCUGGAGAUGCCCUUAUCUCCACCCGACCGGCGGCUAGGGUUCCGCCGGCGCCGCCAAACCCACCUCCACCAUACCUUCUCCUCCAGCCUAUCCCCACGGCCGCCCCAGGCUAGAAGGCGGGUACCGCCGUCACGAGCAUGACCCCCUCCUCGCUGGCGGGCUCAGCAACGACUUCGUCUCCAUCUGGAACCCAUCGCCGGCGCGGCUGCCGCGGCCACCAUCACAUCCGACAGGAGCAGCUCGCAGCGGGUCUUUCUCGUCUCCAUCUCCAAGCCACGCGAGCGCCGGCAGUGGCACAGAGCUGGCGGAGAAGGCGUCGGUGGUUGGAUCUGCCGCACGGGAGGCGGCGGCGCGAUGCGGCCUUGUCAUACUCUUAGGCAUCAGUGAAAUCCGUUCUGCAAUCUAGGAACAAGGCCAACUUCAGGAGCUGAUUGAAGCUGCACUAAAUUUAGCUGCAAAGUAACAUCAAAACAAUUGGUGGGCAGCCUCCUCCAGGAAGAAAAUUACAGUUUGGAUCAGGAUCUGUAGUCCAUAGGAUGGUCAGGUCCUGAUAGAUUCAGAAGACCAGGUCAUACCAUCAUGACUAUGUUCGAUUUGGAUCCUUAGGGGGACUAGCAAUCUACAGCAUCAGAAGGAUGAUUCAGAAGCACACGAAUGAAGCCAAGAAUCGCAAACUGCAAGGCAUCCUUUUUAAAUUAGUGCAGGGCGAGGAAGAGUCGAGAGCAAAAUAAGAGGGCUUUUACUAUCCUAUGUGAUCUUCACCGUCGAAGGGUCUAGUUUGAUUACUGCACAUCAAAUGCUAUAUGCGAUGUUUGUUUCCAUCCUUCUUCGAGGCUUAUGACAGGUGCUAUUUCAUUGCUCAUUGGGUAUGAAAAUGUUGAGCAAGAGGAUGAUAGUGAUGCCAGCAGCGACGAUGAAGCAAUUCAAAACCCAAAUAUUAUACUUAGUAAAGAGGAUGUUUACAAGAGCUAGACGCGGCGAAAGCUGCAGACGCCACGAGCGGCGGCGCCGUUCCUCGUGGUCUAUUACCAAUCGCCGCCGCCCGCAGUGGUUGCGCCGCUGCUAUUUCGGUGACCAGCGGCUCACCCUCUUCUCGUCCGUCAUGGCGCUCACAGGAGGUUAUGUUCGAGAUCUUAAUAACUUUUUUUUCAUGUGCUCACUAUCGCUUGAUUCCCUUCUAUCAGAUGUGGGAUGGGCUGAUUUGGAUGGCCAAAUACGCCUGGCUGUGAUCCAAACAUUCUUAUUUUGCAUUGGAUAUGAGUCAAGUCCUCUAUUCUUUAUUUCCACCAGUGUGAUUGUACUGAUUUACUGAUACCCUGUAGUUAGCAUAAAGGGGAGCUUGCUUAUCUGACAAAAGAAUUUUAUUAUAAAGAGUUGUUGUAUUGGGAUUUUAGAAUAAAGUGCUUCACUAGAAGUCCAUAAGAAAAACUUUGGUACUUCAUAGGAUUAACUCUGGUACUGCUUCAUAGGAUUUCGGUGAUAUCAUGAUAUAGUGCAAACUUUCAUACUACUUAUUUGAUGAAUGCUUCUACAUAUUUCUAGGCUGUGCAUUUCUGUGUUUGAUUACUGUAUUUUCUCUCAAGCCCUGUUGGACUUGUAUCAUUUGUGUUAUAUGUCAUGGAACUGAAACUAGCAUUUUGGACAUCCCUUGGACAAUAUUGUAUACUCUGACUUCAAUUCCAUGAGAGUACUGAACUUGGCAUUGAGAGUCAUCCCAUGGAACUGAAGUUGGCAUUGAUCUCUAAAAAUAAUAUUAGUGUAAGCAACAUAAAGAACAUAAUUUGUAUAUUCCGUCUUGUUUUACCUUUUACUGGAGUACUGUAUUGAUCCACACAAUGGACAGACACAUAUAAUUAAGCAAUUAGCAAAAAAAGGCAUUUAAGGCUUUGCUUGCAUGGUCGAAAUUACUGGUCGUGGAGGUCUUCAAUAGCUUCCAUAACUAUAUGAGAAAACUCUGCGAAUUUCUGUCUCAUUGUCUGGUUAUAUUCAGUUCACGUUUUGAAGUUCUAUACUGCCUGGAUGCUAAGAGGAGUUUUGUAGACAUAUUUGUUUUUUAGACAUCACUCAGCGCCAGAGUUUAAUUUUUUUAUUCAACACUUUAUUUGUGGAAAUAUAUUUAACAGAGUUAAUAACUGCAGAAAAUUGGUAACACUGCACUCAGUUAAGAUUAUGAGAUAUCUGUUGUAUGUAUUAUUUAUCAAUACUACCUCAAUUUCUUCCUAUCGUAUUUGCAUGUAUCUCAUGCUCUUACUAAUGUUUUAGCCUUCUAUAUUUUGUUUCGAAGAGAGCUCAGGACAAUGGCUAUGAGGAGGAUGAAGGCGCAGCUUCUACUUAUUUAUUGUCGCAAAAGGGUCACAAGAAGAAACACAUUAUGCAGCAGAGGAUUAAUGGUUUAGGACCAUAUGAAACUGACGUAUCUUAUGGUCCGCGAUGUUCACCUCCUCUAUUGCGGUGGAAGCCGGAAAUGCUAGAAAAGCAGUGAUGGAGAAGAGCUCACAGUGGUCUCAGUACAAAAAUAGCUUAUGUGCUACUGCAAGGUGAUGCCAAAGCUGGCGAAUUUUCAGCCUUUUUGGUGGCUUUGCUCCUCUUCUAAAGAAGUUACCUUCAGAGGAGACUGGAGAAGACAUGGAAGCUACAGCCAAUUUGCAUUGGUAUGUAGACCUGCCAAAUUUUCUAUGGAGUGCAGCGUCAGUCAUUGCCAAGGUCCGCGUCUACGUGGACGACCACUACUUCUGUGACACCCACGAGAGGGACAUGGUCUACAUUGAAUACUACUCCAAUAGCGAGUCAAUGAUGGCGCCGACGAGCAGCUGCUCUAGUAGGCGAUGAGGAAGGCGAGCAUCGGAACAGUGUAGCGCGGUGACAGUAAUAAGAGUUAUCUGUAAUGCAUUUUCCAUGCCAUCCGGCUGUAUCUCUGUAUGUCUUCUUUCUUGUGCUAUAAAUACAAACAUAUGCAAGAAAAAACUAUAAUGGGUGGUCCGCAUUAUCUCUA